CGUGAAGUCCAUCUUUUUCAGGUAUAGUUUGCCCCAUUUACAUUGACGAUCGGUUGCUACGCUCAUUUCUCCUAAUUUCUGACACUCAUCUCUCUCUAGAGAACCUCCUUCUACUUCUCGCUCCAGCUCUCUUUCUAACAGCCUUUACAGCCAGAGAUUUUAGCAUCGAAGCCCUUUUUUGGUUUGUUGUGCGUCUGCAUUUGGUUUUUGUUUGUUUUUAUUAUAGUAUAAAUUUGAUGAUUUUAGGUUAUUUAUUUUGCUAAUUUUUGGUAUUUCUGGAAAAAUAGAUCUCUCUAUUUUGUUGCGCAUGAAGAUUAGAUGACAUUUGGUAGUAUUUGUGGUGGCUAUUGAUUAUAUUGGGUGUCAUUUUUUCUUAGUCUAAGUUCUGAACAGCGGAAAAUGCAGAUGAUGUUGGAGGAACUGUAUACCCUUACCGUAAAGAACACCAAGCGGGGGGCUUCUUGAGCAUUAGAGUCGUUCGUUUCUACGUUUCUUUAUUUUCUUUGUUAUGAAUUCUUACAUUUAUUUUCUUUUCUUUUCUGUGUUUGCUCUGUUAAGAAAAGUGGUACCUAAGGAACAAACAUCUCUCUCUCAAAUAUAAUUUACUGUUCAAGUAAAUUUGGCAUUGAUUUUUUUUUUUCGUAAGUGAUACUAUGGAUUUCUACUGUUCUCCCCAGUUUAGUUUCUCAACAUUUCUGUGGGGUACGAAUAACUGCAAAUGCUUAACUGUUUUCAAUUAUGUUUUGCUGUUCUAUUGCAUUAAUCUUUCUCCUAAUUAUAUGCUAGCUUUUGUGUGGUGUAUGUAGGGGAAGUGUAAGCAGUGUGCAAGCUAUUUAUUAUUAUUUUUCACUUGUUAUUAAUUCAUUAUAAUUUUUCAUAUACUUCCACCCUGUUAAUCGAGAAACUUCGAUAAAAUCUGGAACAUUUUUUAUUUAUGUUGAAACACUUUUCUAUGAUUUUCUGCCUCAUUAAUGACGUGAUGGCUCUUUAUGAAACAACUAUUAACUAUUUAUGGAUGCUUUGCGGAUCAGGUACUAAUUCCUCAAAAUGU
rnacentral:misc_RNA from 1 species